rnacentral:rRNA from 1 species
CGGCCGCGGUAUUUUGACCGUGCAAAGGUAGCGCAAUCACUUGUCUUUUAAAUAGAGACCUGUAUGAAUGGCCAAACGAGGGCUUAACUGUCUCCCCUUUCAAGUCAGUGAAAUUGAUCUGCCCGUGCAGAAGCGGACAUAAUAACACAAGACGAGAAGACCCUUUGGAGCUUAAGGUACAAAACUCAACCCAUGUCAAACAACUCAAUAAAAAAUAAAAACUCUGUGGGACAUGAUAUUUUACCUUCGGUUGGGGCGACCACGGAGGAAAAUAAAGCCUCCAAGUGGAUUGGGAAAAUCCCCUAAAACUAAGAGAGACAUCUCUAAGCCACAGAACAUCUGACCAAAUAUGAUCCGGUAACAUAACCGAUCAACGAACCAAGUUACCCUAGGGAUAACAGCGCAAUCCUCUCCCAGAGUCCAUAUCGACGAGGGGGUUUACGACCUCGAUGUUGGAUCAGGACAUCCUAAUGGUGCAGCCGCUAUUAAGGGUU